rnacentral:sRNA from 1 species
UAAAUGGAUAUUGCUGCCACAAUGGACCGAGCGAUCCGAAUCCAACCGAUCCAUUUGUUUAUAAGGGAAUCUGGAUCCAAAGUGGAGAAUGGGACCAGUUGUGGCAUAUUGCGGUGAACUUGACUUCAACGCCUCUUCUCGAAUGAAUGUAUCAGAAGUCUUUGGGAUACCUAAGGCAACAAAGAUUGUGCUAUCCAAAGGAAUAGAUCGAUCUAUCAUCUAUACUUACAGCAAUAGUCAAGCAGCAUUGAAGGUUUUAAGAGCUAAUUAAGCAAUUCUACGUAACAGAAAAAAAAAAAUACCAAAGCAUUAACGUAAGAGGGAAAGGAAAAAAGACAAGUAGAAAACAAAUUUCAUUCCAAUAAGAUGAAGGAGUUUUAUGAACAUAUCCAGCUUGCUGGCUUACAAACUCGCAGGCCAAACAAACACUUCAUCUACAAAGUAGCAACAAAUUACAGUCACUUAAAAUUCUAAAAGCAUCACAUUUCACGGAGAAUUCAAGGAUUUUAACACUUUCAAUGAUGCCAAAGUCAAUGCCAAAGCUGAUGUUGUUCCUUGUGAUGGAAACAUGGAUGAAAGUGACAUUUUUUUGCCACAAGGCUGCUAGCAUACCAGAAUUCAAGGCAAAAAUUUUAUAACAAAGAUACAUAAGAGCCACUUAAUCAAGUCACUCCAGGAAUAUUUUUGGUUAUGUUUUUUUGUGGAGUUGGGAACAGAUGUUUGCCGACAUUGCUUCAUGCCCAAAGU